rnacentral:rRNA from 1 species
CCUGUGACAUACCUAAAACGUUGCUUCGGCGGGAACAGACGGCCCCGUAACACGGGCCGCCCCCGCCAGAGGACCCCCUAACUCUGUUUCUAUUAUGUUUCUUCUGAGUAAAACAAGCAAAUAAAUUAAAACUUUCAACAACGGAUCUCUUGGCUCUGGCAUCGAUGAAGAACGCAGCGAAAUGCGAUAAGUAAUGUGAAUUGCAGAAUUCAGUGAAUCAUCGAAUCUUUGAACGCACAUUGCGCCCGCCAGUAUUCUGGCGGGCAUGCCUGUUCGAGCGUCAUUACAACCCUCAGGCCCCCGGGCCUGGCGUUGGGGAUCGGCGAGGCGCCCCCUGCGGGCACACGCCGUCCCCCAAAUACAGUGGCGGUCCCGCCGCAGCUUCCAUUGCGUAGUAGCUAACACCUCGCAACUGGAGAGCGGCGCGGCCACGCCGUAAAACACCCAACUUCUGAAUGUUGACCUCGAAUCAGGUAGGAAUACCCGCUGAACUUAAGCAUAUCAAUAAGCGGAGGAA